ensembl:lncRNA
AAAAUAGAGCUACAACUUCAUGAACUACUAUUAUAACUAACUAUUAUCUGAGGAAGACCUGGAUGAGUGGGUUUAUAAGGUGUCUAACUAUCACACUCGGAGAUCUGCGUGUUGUAUACCCUAAUGUUUUUAGCGUAACAUGUUUGCUAGUGGAGUUAUGAAGAAUAGUACUAUGCCACGUACUCAUAAACAACUUGCUGUGGGCAACACGUAACACUGGCUCUUUGUGUUAGGGUUAGUUAGGCUCUUUGUGUUAGGGUUAGUUAAGCUCUUUGUGUAAGGGUUAGUUAGGCUCUUUGUGUAAGGGUUAGGGUUAGUUAAGCUCUUUGUGUUAGGGGUUAAGGUUAGUUAGGCUCUUUGUGUAAGGGUUAGGGUUAGUUAAGCUCUUUGUGUUAGGGGUUAAGGUUAGUUAGGCUUUUGUGUUUGUGCUUUCUGCAUUUUCACCCUUCAAUCAGGCUUUGAUCUUUUACAGAAACAUUCUUUCAACCAAAUAUGCCUUUAUUCUCAAACAGUGUGA